rnacentral:rRNA from 1 species
CACGUAGGCACCAAGCGUUGUCCGGAUUUAUUGGGCGUAAAGAGCUCGUAGGCGGUUCGGUAAGUCGGGUGUGAAAACUUUGGGCUCAACCCAAAGCGUGCACUCGAUACUGCCAUGACUAGAGUUCGGUAGGGGAGUGGGGAAUUCCUAGUGUAGCGGUGAAAUGCGCAGAUAUACGGAGGAACACCUGCGGCGAAGGCGGGUAGCUGGGCCAACACUGACGCUGAGACGCGAAAGCUAGGGGAGCAAACAGG